AACGAACGCUGGCGGCAGGCUUAACACAUGCAAGUCGAGCGCCCCGCAAGGGGAGCGGCAGACGGGUGAGUAACGCGUGGGAAUCUACCCAGCUCUACGGAAUAACCCAGGGAAACUUGG
rnacentral:rRNA from 1 species